UACGAAGGGGGCUAGCGUUGUUCGGAAUUACUGGGCGUAAAGCGCGUGUAGGCGGGUCUUUUAAGUCAGGGGUGAAAUGCCAAGGCUCAACCUUGGAACUGCCUUUGAUACUGGAGACCUUGAGUCCGGGAGAGGUGAGUGGAAUUGCGAGUGUAGAGGUGAAAUUCGUAGAUAUUCGCAAGAACACCAGUGGCGAAGGCGGCUCACUGGCCCGGAACUGACGCUGAGGCACGAAAGCGUGGGGAGCGAACGAGGAUUAUAUACCCGGGUACGGUCAGACC
rnacentral:rRNA from 1 species